ACGGCUCAGUAACACGUGGUCAAGCUAACCUAUGGACGUGGAUAACCUCGGGAAACUGAGAAUAAACCGCGAUAGAUUCAUGAUGCCUGGAAUGGCUCAUGGUCGAAAUAGUUUACUGCCGUAGGACGCGACUGCGGCCUAUCAGUUUGUUGGUGAGGUAAUGGCCCACCAAGACUAUUACAGGUACGGGCUCUGAGGGGAGAAGCCCGGAGAUGGGUACUGAGACACGGACCCAGGCCCUAUGGGGCGCAGCAGGCGAGAAACCUUAGCAAUGUGCGAAAGCACGACUGGGUUAGUCCGAGUGAUUCCUGCUAAAGGAAUCUUUUACCGGUCCUAAAAGCACCGGUGAAUAAGGGGUGGGCAAGUCUGGUGUCAGCCGCCGCGGUAAUACCAGCACCUCGAGUGAUCAGGACGUUUAUUAGGCCUAAAGCAUCCGUAGCCUGUUCUGUAGGUCUUCUGUUAAAUCCAGCGGCUUAACCGUUGGCGGGCAGAGGAUACCGCAGGACUAGGAGGCGGGAGAGGUGGGCGGUACUCCACGUGUAGGGGUAAAAUCCUUUGAUCCGUGGAAGACCACCAGUGGCGAAGGCGGCCCACCAGAACGCGCUCGACGGUGAGGGAUGAAAGCUGGGGGAGCGAACCGGAUUAGAUACCCGGGUAGUCCCAGCUGUAAACGAUGCAAACUCGGUGAAGCAUUGGCUUAAUGCUAAUGCUGUGCCGCAGGGAAGCCGUUAAGUUUGCCGCCUGGGAAGUACGGUCGCAAGAUUGAAACUUAAAGGAAUUGGCGGGGGAGCACCACAAGGGGUGAAGCCUGCGGUUCAAUUGGAUUCAACGCCGGG
rnacentral:rRNA from 1 species